rnacentral:lncRNA from 1 species
GGCGGAGAGGCGGCCAGCGGCGGAGAGGCGGCCAGCGGCGGCGCGGUGGAGAGGCGGACAGCGGCGGAGAGGCGGACAGCGGCAGCGCAGCGGAGAGACGGACAGCGGCGGAGAGGCAGACAGCGGCAGCGCGGCGGAGAGGCGGACAGCGGCAGCGCGGCGGAGAGACGGACAGCGGCGGAGAGGCAGACAGUGGCGGCGAGGCGCGCAGCGGCGGCGCAGGCGCGGAGAGGCGCUGGCGCCGGCUCUGGCUCGGAGAGGCGCAGGCCCAGGCUCCACUCCCCAGCUGUGAAAGGGUUUUCUGCCUCCUGCUAAGCCAAUUUAUACAUUCCAAGAAAAUCUUCCAUUUCAUCCAGGUGAAACAGAACCUACUGGAAUGAAGCUGGCCUCCCAUGGAAUGAAGCUGGCCUCCCGUCUCCUUGAUUUGAAGCAGCUUCUCCACGUUGGUUAUUAUGCCAUUUUUCUAAAUCUAACAUUUUAAAAUUUGUGCCUUUUCUUUCUCUUUUGCUUGACUUCUCAGAGGUUUUUUUAACGGUCUUUUCAAAGAAGUGGUUUUCGGUUUUAUUUAUCAAGUCUACUUUUAUUAUGGCUGUUUUAAAAUUAAAUACAUU